GGGGUUGUGGCUCAGUGGCAAAGUGCUCGCCUAGCAUGUGUGAAGCCCUGGGUUCAAUUCUCAGCACCA
rnacentral:tRNA from 1 species